CCCGCUGAACUUAAGCAUAUCAAUAAGCGGAGGAAAAGAAACUAACAAGGAUUCCUCUAGUAACUGCGAGUGAAGCGGGAAAAGCUCAAAUUUAAAAUCUGGUGGUCUUUGGCCAUCCGAGUUGUAAUUUAGAGAAGCGUCUUCCGCGCUGGACCGUGCACAAGUCUCCUGGAACGGAGCGUCGUAGAGGGUGAGAAUCCCGUCUUUGGCACGGACACACCAGGGCUUUUGCGAUGCGCUCUCGAAGAGUCGAGUUGUUUGGGAAUGCAGCUCAAAAUGGGUGGUGAACUCCAUCUAAAGCUAAAUAUUGGCGAGAGACCGAUAGCGAACAAGUACCGUGAGGGAAAGAUGAAAAGCACUUUGGAAAGAGAGUGAAACAGUACGUGAAAUUGUUGAAAGGGAAACGCUUGAAGUCAGUCGCGUCGUCCGAGACUCAGCCUCGCCUCGGCUUGGCGUACUUCUCGGCCCGACGGGUCAGCAUCAAUUUCGCCUCUCGGAUAAUGGCGAGGGAAAAGUGACACCUUUACGGUGUGUUAUAGUCUCUCGUCGCAUGCGAGGGUCGGGAUUGAGGGACUCAGCACGCGCCCUCGGGCGUCGGGGCUUUCGCACACGAUACGUUCUUAGGAUGUUGGCGUAAUGGCUUUAAUCGACCCGUCUUGAAACACGG
rnacentral:rRNA from 1 species